rnacentral:rRNA from 1 species
ACUUAAAUUGAAGAGUUUGAUCAUGGCUCAGAUUGAACGCUGGCGGCAGGCCUAACACAUGCAAGUCGAGCGGUAGCACAGAGAGCUUGCUCUCGGGUGACGAGCGGCGGACGGGUGAGUAAUGUCUGGGAAACUGCCUGAUGGAGGGGGAUAACUACUGGAAACGGUAGCUAAUACCGCAUAACGUCGCAAGACCAAAGUGGGGGACCUUCGGGCCUCAUGCCAUCAGAUGUGCCCACGAUGGGAUUAGCUAGUAGGUGGGGUAACGGCGUCACCUAGGCGACGAUCCCUAGCUGGUCUGAGAGGAUGACCAGCC